CCUGAACUGACCUGAAUAUUCCAUUGCAUAUAUGUGUUACAUCUUUCUCCAUCCCUCUGUUGAUGGGCAUUUGGGUAGUGUCCAUGUCUUGGCUAUGGUAAAUGAUGCCACUGUGAACACUGGGGUGCGUGUGCCUUUUGAAAUUAUGGUUUUCUCCAGGUAUAUCUCCAGGGGUUGGAUUACACUCAGGCGGUAGCUCUGCGUUUUUUUUAGGAGUCUACGUUUUGAUCAGUCUCCCCAGAUGAUCCUGACAGCUACAUGAGGACUCACAUUUGAGACCCCCUUCUGCACCUUGCCUGAGCUACACAGGACACACUCUCCUGGAUGUCUUAGCAGUGGGGCAGAAAUCACCCCUGCAGUGGGUGUCUUUCACUGAUAGCGUCCUGGCCUGACCGAUGGGAGCACCCCCUGACCAGGCAUUGUGCGCGCUCAGCAGAGUCAGCAGUUCUGUGGGACAGCACCUGGGGCCAGAAGGCCUCAGACUUUCCCAGGACGUCGAGACAGCGGUGAGAGCAUGUGGGUGCCUGGGGGCCUUUUUCAGGCUGGCCUGGCAGCGUGUGCUCUGAAGCAGCCCCUGGAUUCUGCUGGGAGCCACGGGAGAGGCUGCGCAAGAGACCAGGGUUUCCUAAGGCUUCAGGCCUCUGUGGGGCCUGCCCUGGCCUGACUUGCAGCAGAAGAUGACAUUGACAUAUCUGCUCAAUAAAUUAGCACCAGCUGACUUAUUUGGCUUGGCCAGGUCCUCCAGCCCAUAGGAAAAAGAGAGGGGACCAGAGGAUUAGAGGAAAGGGCUGGGGAGUCAUCUCAGCACUUAUCAAGGUCAGAGGACCAGCACCC
ensembl:lncRNA